UACAGAGGGUGCAAGCGUUGUUCGGAUUUACUGGGCGUAAAGCGUACGCAGACGGUUUGGUAGGUCGGAUGUGAAAGCCCCGGGCUCAACCCGGGAAUUGCAUCCGAAACCACCUCACUCGAGUGUGGGAGAGGGAAGCGGAAUUCCUGGUGUAGAGGUGAAAUUCGUAGAGUAAUCAGGAGGAACACCGGCGGCGAAGGCGGCUCCUGGCCCAUUACUGACGUUCAGGUACGGAAA
rnacentral:rRNA from 1 species